AGAGUUUGAUCCUGGCUCAGAUUGAACGCUGGCGGCAGGCCUAACACAUGCAAGUCGAGCGGUAACAGGAAGUAGCUUGCUACUUCGCUGACGAGCGGCGGACGGGUGAGUAAUGCCUGGGAAUAUGCCUUGAUGUGGGGGAUAACUAUUGGAAACGAUAGCUAAUACCGCAUAAUGCCUACGGGCCAAAGAGGGGGAUCUUCGGACCUCUCGCGUCAAGAUUAGCCCAGGUGGGAUUAGCUAGUUGGUGGGGUAAAGGCUCACCAAGGCGACGAUCCCUAGCUGGUCUGAGAGGAUGAUCAGCCACACUGGAACUGAGACACGGUCCAGACUCCUACGGGAGGCAGCAGUGGGGAAUAUUGCACAAUGGGGGAAACCCUGAUGCAGCCAUGCCGCGUGUAUGAAGAAGGCCUUCGGGUUGUAAAGUACUUUCAGCAGUGAGGAAGGUGGUAGUGUUAAUAGCACUAUCAUUUGACGUUAGCUGCAGAAGAAGCACCGGCUAACUCCGUGCCAGCAGCCGCGGUAAU
rnacentral:rRNA from 1 species